AAAGAGAUGUUGGUGAAAGGAGC
rnacentral:siRNA from 1 species